UAGCAGCACGUAAAUACUGGAGUACGGGAUCGCCUAGACUCUCCAGUAUUGCAUUGCUGCUUUA
rnacentral:pre_miRNA from 1 species